rfam:Citrobacter rodentium ICC168, complete genome
ACUAACAAAAAAGAAAUGGGGCGGGUUUACCUUGCCCUCUCGAUUGCUGGUCAGCACGGACAGACUAUACGCCUGAUGGUCGUUCCCCAUCAGGCCUGAAAACCGAAACAGGCCGAUCAACAAUCUUCGAGGGUAGCGCUGCUACCCUUUUUUUUCGGAGUAGA